UUAUAAUUUCCAACUACCAGAAUGAACUAUAUAUAAGACAUGCUACUAAGAGAAAGGCUCUGUCCAGAUUAAGGCAGCACACAAAUUGGUAGCUACAAAACGGUCACAGGGAAGUAAGUAAAGCAUAGGAAAUAUAGUCAAUAAUACUGUGAUAACUGUGUAUGGUGCCAGGUGGGGCACUGGAAAUAUUGAGGGGAACACUAUCUAAAGUAUGUAGUUGUAACCACUAAGCCAUACACCCGAAACCAAAACAUAGUAAAAACGUUUUUUAAAGAUUAAGGUUGUUACUACUGCUGGGUUUGCAGUAGUAACAGGUAUUCAAAAUAUGCCUUUGGUACAAACCAUAAAAUAAAUUUGCACAUUAACAGAGUUAUUGAAUACAUGUGUUUAUUUUCAUAAGAUGAUUAGUUCAACUUCAGUAAAUUUCUUAUCACUUGCAUAUUUGUGGUCUCAAACAUUUUUCUUUUUAAAUGCUAAGCAUUUUUAGAUCAGUUUUAUAGUGUUUCUAUUAAAAACUUAUUUUCCUAUAAAAUAAGUGAGGUAGCAUUUCUUAGUUCAUAGUAGAUUGCCACCCCCAAUCCAAUUCUAAUUCUGUAGUUGUGCAUUUUUUUGAAAAUACCCUGAUGUUAUCAUUUCCUGAUCGAUGAGUAACUUGAACAGUAAUGGAGAGUAGAAUCCCUGGGACUUUUGUGAAGUUACUGAAAAGAAACCCACUGAAGUGUACUCUUUUCUACCGUAAAGCACAAGUGUGUCUGUUCAACGGACACCAACGAUGCAGCACGUUGGGCACCCAGACUGGGCGGCCCUGUCAGGGCUUGUCCUGCGCUGUUUGGUCAUCCAUUCGCUUCUCCUGGAGAAGGUGGACUGCCAGGAAUUCGGUCUCCUCCUAGUGUAGAAUCAUCAUUUGGUCAUCAAAUAUCAGUGGCACAGUAGUUUGAAAAACUCAAAGAUACACUGGAGAAAAACGAGCAGAAUUCCUCUAGUGACAAAUCUCAUGAUAGUUGAGAAAGUUUUAGGAGACCAGUUUUGUAUUUAACCUUUGUCAUCCCCAGAGAACAGAUUCCAAGUCUCAGAGUGUCAGACCUUUGAGAGUGAUCAUCAUCCUGUGUCUGGAUGUUUUAAAGACUUUUUUUUGUAUUGAAGUGUUUACCUGGAAACAAUAGGAAAUAUUAGCCAGAGUGCAGAAGUCCACUUGUGAGGCCAGUAACUAUUAAGCAGUGUGAUGGUCCAUUAAUUUCCAAGAGAGCAAGCAAAUCAAAGCUCCCUUGUUGGGUCUUUAUAGUGUGAACGAUCUCAUUUGUAAUAUUUCAACCAUAGUGAGGGAUAAGGUACUGAUACAUCUCUUCAAUUCAGGGACCCUAACCGAGUUAAAAAAAAACAAAAACAGAAAAACAACCUUCAAGCAAGUCAGUAGACUCCUCUGACUUCUCAGAGGUCACGCCCAUGAGACCUCUGGAGAGGCCCAGAUGGUGAGACUGAACAGGGUUUAAAAUCUUCAAAGGAGCUGGUAAGGAGUCCCAGGAAUAGUUCUUGGUAUACGUAGAGGUCACAGAUAAAGAGCAGGCCUGGCAUGCACAAUUGAUACGAUCUACACGUAAAAAGUUAAAAGCGUAUGUCUUUCCUCUGAGUUAUUGUGACAAGCAGUGAUAACUAUUUCAGUUGAGAUUUUGUAGCCUGCUUUUCCUGAACAAAAGCAUUUUAUUUUUUCUUUUUCACAAGGGUUUCCUAGGAGUGGUAGUGUUAAGUUGUAAUAGAGGGAAUAUAUCUAUCAUUGGGAUAAUUGUAUGGGAUUUCAUAAUAAGGUUGGUAGCUAUUUUUCUUUCCUUUGGUCGUAUUCCUGAACAGUUGCCUGAGUUAUGAAAGAACCAUAGACAUCCAGGAUUACUUUAAAAGGUGACUGGGUUGAUUUUUCUCUCUGGAUAAAAUUAUUGGCUGCUUAUAGUUCUAUGUAAUUAUAAUAACUAGCAUCUGGAUCUAGAGAUAUUUGUUUUGUGUUCUAAAGGAUAGAAGAUAUGUUCAGGUCAUAUCCUUGUGGGUUGCUUGUUAGCAUUAAGAGGUAUUGCCAUAAUUUGAGUGACCCCAGGAGUUGGGAAGGGGCCACCGGUCCAGCCAGAGAUCAGUUGGCAGAUGAGGCAAUGAUCUGACUCAUUCUUAGAAACAAAGUAGAGAAAAUGUUUUUUUCCGAAAAGGGAGGGGGGAAAUGAAGAAAAGUGGAGCCACAGAACACAGAGGAGGAAAGCAAGAGCCUGGAGUCACACAUGAACAGUUGUACAGGGAGGCCUGUCAGUGUGAUGGGUCCUAACGAAAAAUUCUGUUUUUGUUUUCUUGUCUUGGGUAGAACUUGCCCUUCUGAAGUUGUCUGCUGGAUCUGAAGGUCUCGAAUAAGCUGUUUGUUGCCUGAUGCCGUCUGCUUCUGGAGGCUUCUCGGAAUGCAAAGUCAGGUUGGAGUGAUGAGUUCAUCCGUGGGACAGACCCAACAUUAGGCGAAGGAGCAGUUUUGUUAGCUGGUGUCCAGCGGUGACAGUGUGUCCUGCAUAGGAAUGCCUUUGUCAUUUUUAAGGUAAGACUCAACUAAAAAUAGUAUUAAAUCAGAAUUGACUAAGAUUUGGCCUGGGCAUUCUUGCCUGCAUAGUUUUUAUGUUUUUACUCAAGUAUGUGUUUUGUACAGAAAAGUACUAAAUGUAAAAAGCUCAAUAAGUUUUCAAAUAUGCGUAUACAUUCCUGUACAAAUCCCUUCCAGGUGGAAUAGAACAUUCCCUAGCACCGCAGAAGGGUCCUUUGUGCCCCCUUCCCAGCCAAAGCACAGCCCUCCUUGUCCAGAGCUGGCCGCCAUUCUGACUUCUAUCACCAUCAGUUAGUUUUGCCUCUUGAAUUUCAUGGAAGUAGAAUCAUACACUGUAUUGUCAUUUAUUUUUGUCUUCUUUUGUGCAAUGUAAUAUCUGUGGGAUUCAUACUUGUUUUUGCAUAUAUCAAUAGCUUGUUACUUUUUAUUGCCAUGUAGCAUUAUAUUAUACAAAUAAACCACAAUUAAUUUAUACAUUGUAUUGCUGAUGGACAUUUGGAUCAUUGCCAUUCUUUGUUAUAAGUGAAGCUGCUAUGAAUAUUGCUGUAGAUUUAUUCUGGUGGACAGAUGCACUAUUUCUCUUGAGUAUAUUUCUGGGCAAUAAGGUGGGCAUAUUUUCGCUUUGCUGGGACCUAGGCAUUCUUAAUCCCUACCAUACCACUAAACAGUCAUGGGUGCCUCUUCAUCCAGAAGGGGAAGUAAGUGGUGGGAUUAAAAUGUGAGUGAUGUUCAGUUGUGGUAUGCAAAGUAGACAGUGGAAGGAUUUCCUAAUCAGCACAGCGGCUGACAAAAAAUACCUGAGUGUUGCCUGGAAGUAUCAGGGAUUGCACAGCAAGUAAAUGCAGUUAGUGCAGAAGGAAUCAUUCAUCGGCCUGGAGCAGAAGCUUUGCUCAGUUAGCCACUGCUGCCCUCGUUUGCAGGCAGGGACGGUGCGUUGCAGCUGCCAGAUGGAGAAAUUUGUUCAGAUAGGCAGCAAGCUUCCUGUGAGCCUCUCUACUGAAUUAACACUCCUAUUAGGCAAUCUGGUCUUUUCCUGAACAACUAGAGAGAAGGGUUUGGCACGGUUGGGGACAUGCAAACUGUGGUGUUGCUGUGGGAAACUUCCACCUUAGCAUCCCAGGGAAGGGGUUGGGAAUCAUGUCUUAGUAAGCUCUCGUAAGGGCAGUCCCGGAAACCCUCUCAGUUGUCCUUGAGUGGGGCCCUGAAUGGAAUGGAAUUGCUCUUAUUUUGGAGGGGGACAGAGAGUGUCUGCCUGUAGAUAGGUCAUGACCAAACUUAUGGAGUCUCAAAUUUUGUAGUUAUUUUUAAUUAUAUGUAGUUACAAAUGUUCAAUUAUGUAGACCAAAAUUACAUAGAGGUGUAACUUUUUUCUAGAUACUUUAUGUCCCUUUUCUGCCAGUUUUAUUAAGAGAGGUUUGAAAUCUUCCCAAGAACAACAUAGAUCAGGAGGGCAUAGCGCUAAGUUGCCUGCCUAUUGUGGGUGGGUAUGGAGUGGGUUCUCAUGCAAAAGUCAAACAGGAUCAUUUACUUGGACACUGAGGAAAAUAUGAGGGUGAGUCCAUAAGUCCUCAAGUCCCAUGAGUUCUGCACCUGGGGCAAGCAGGCACCAGUUCUCCUAGACUCCAGGGAGUUGGAAAAGGCUGCACACCCCCCCACUGCAGUACAGUAUGUACUCAUGGGGGAACGGAGGACAAGGUAGUGUUUGGGUGGAAUAUAAUGCAUCAGAGAAUCAUAAUCCUAUUGAUUUCUCCAAGGUCUCAAACAAAUCGGGAGAUUUCCCAUUAGGCAUAUUAAUUAGCAACAUGAGCACUGUCGGGCCUGGUACAAGUAGCAGCAGCUCACGUUGUAAAACGAGGGGGUGGGGACUGAAUAUGAGAUCUCAUCAGGGUUGAAUAAGUCUUGGGUAAUUUCGACAGAAAUUUAUAAGGAUCGAUUUAAAUUUUAACAGGGUCACUAUGAAUAAGCAUAGCCCUUAGCCUUUAGAUGUGGUGCUUAUGCUUAAGCUGUGGCCCUUCUAGGAUUUCAGUGAUCUCUUCAAAUUGUGUACCGAGCCCCUCUGACCUACGGGGACGUGAACCCUGAACUCUGUCUUUCCAGUGUCGGGCCACUGUUGACAUCUCUACUCAGCAUUUCCAGGCUUCCAGCUGUUGCUUUCUACUGGGUUAUUUGGAUUUUCCACCCAGCACAUGUGUGGUGCAGGAGUCAGCUGGAUUUGAAAGUUUGUGCGCAAAUAUGAGGGCUCCACCCCCGUGGCUCCCUUCUCUGUGGAAUUUCCGAGAGCCCCAAAUUCUGAGUCUGACUCUCAGGCCGCCAAGACUGCCCCUUUGCUCGAGUGCAUCCUCCGUGCCCGGGCACAUGCAGUAGGAAGUGUCGGCGAUAGUGUGGGUCUCAACAGGGGUGUUUUCCUUCUUUCGAGGUAUGAGUAUUGUCUGGUUCCUGCCUGCUUUGGUCCCUCUCCAGGGCCUUCAAGAGACAGGUUUUAUAUUUUGUCUAGAAUUUGUAAUUGUUACUGGCAGGAAGGUUAGCCUGUUAUAAAUACUUUACCAUUACUGGAAGCUGGAAUUGGAGAAGCGAUAAAUGGUGUGAAAGAAGUAGCCACACCUUUAUUUUUUAACCUUCUCCUUUUUUCUUCGCUCUCCCCUAUCUACCAGCAAUCUUUCCACACGGGUGCUUGUCUAGAAAGGCCUUGGAAUUCAGGCAGAAGGAAGGAACAGAAUAGGUUCAAGAACUUGGAGAGGAGGAUAUCCCUUGCAUGUGUGUCUCCUCUCAUCAAAGAGAUCCAGACGUACUACGGGAGUGGUUCCACAUCUGGCUGAGGACCGUUUAAAAACCAAGAUGCACAGGCCCCACGGCACACCCACCAAAUGCACGGCCGGUGGAAGGCACAGGUGAUUCUGAUGGUUAGCCGGCACUGGGGACCAUUACCAGAAGAGGCAGGCCUCAGACGUUUCUUGAAUGAAUGUGUGAAUGAAUGCAUGCGCACAACUGGCAACAGAGGGAUCGUUCCCCCAGGGAAACUGCCUCCUCUUCCACAGGCUGGUCCUGGUGCACGCCGAGCUGUCGAGGGCUAGUCCAGUGCUGUGGAAACUAUCAGCCCGAGUGUGUUUUGACAGUGAUAUAUGAUGCCUUGCUCCGUGGCACAUAGUUCAGGAAUGGCCAGGAAGUCUGAAAUCCAUCGAGAAUGUGUUAAAUGUAAGGUGUCCUGCUAGGUUUCUCAAUCUCUCAACAGCCUUGAGAUUUGUUUGUCCUUGUUCCAGUUUAUACGCUCCUGAAAAAAAGGCCUUUCAUUGUCCUGCAUCUGUCACUUAAAGAUAUCCUCAACUCAGGAAACAAACCUCACUUAUCUUUAGAAGUGUUUUACUUGGAUCAAAAAGCAGCUGAAUACAAACGCUUUAUGAUGCCUGAAAAAUAACACCCAGAGGUACCAUUCUAAAACGACUUUGAAAUCCUCCCCGUUUAAUACGAGUCUUUCUCCUUUGGGAGGAUAAUUUUUUAAGAGGUAAUAAUCUGGUUCUGGGCAUUAACUUAAGGCUCCUUUGCUAUUAAAUGUCAUAAACAAAGCUCUUGCUUGUAAGAUGAACACACGUCAAGUCUCAGGCCCUUUAACAUCCCACUAAGAAAAGGGGCCUGUGCUUCACCACGAACUGACAGCCUCCCCCUGUGAUGGCAGUGGGGGCCUUCCGUUUAGGACAGGGGGACCGUCCAUGGAAGGGCUGACGGGGGGUGACAGGCUGUGGUUCCCGUCCUCCCGACUGCUGAAGAUGGCAUAAGUUGCCACUUAGUAGAUUUCUAGAAGGCACAUCAUUGUAUCUUCACUUUCACUGCAUGUUUAUUGCAGUAAACAAUGGGGUGAUUUUUCCUUUUAGAAGCACAAUCAAUAAACCAUAGUUUUAUUUUUAGUUGUUUCUUCUUUUUCUUGCUACGCACACAUUCACAUCUGGAUUUUCUCUGUUGGAAUGCAACUUCCUGUGAAGCAGUGAGAAUUGUUUUAAAGAAAAAGUGAGUAGGACACCUCACACAUAGUCCUUUGAUACACCAAGUUUUUUUGAUAUUUAUUCAUUAUAAUUAUAUGCACCAAUUUGGAGCCCUAUGACAUCAUGGGUUUUAUAAAUGGAGCUCAGAUUUUUACUUCUUUGCCACCUAUUUCCCCACUAGAAGAACAACUAGGUAAAAGAGAAUAUCUAUUUAGAAACUAUCAACAUAUUGUCGUUUUUCAUGUUGGAGUUUUCUAAAGUCUUUGCUCAGCACUAUUGUUUGAUUUAACCAUCCACGUAGAAUGGAGAACUAAUUAAGAGAAGUGGAGAGGGGUUAAAUGUGUUUUGGGCAACCAAAGAAUUUUAAGUGUGCACUUUAAAUUCAAAUUGCAUCGGUCCUUUUCACAUCUCUAUGAACAUAAAUUUUCACAAAAAGGCCCCUAACUUCCCUGUUUUUAUGGGUUUCUUCCUUAAUCCUCCCCUUCGUUUUCUUUCUCCCUUAGAAUGCUAAAUAUCCUCCUUCUCUGGAGACUAAACUAGGUGCAUCUUGAAUUCAUUUCUUAGAACAUAAGAAAUCUUUCUCUUCCCCAUAAGCUGUCAGUACCAUUUAUAUUUUAAAUGAAAGGCAACCCUUUUCCUGAAGGAGGAACUCCAUCUUUCUUGGGGGAUUAUCUAAACAACGUCACGUGUCCUUUUCUCUCUGUUCCAUCUUCACACGAGAAAGCAUAAAUCAUGUAACCCAACAAAUAAACACAAUUGACAUGUUAUUUCUCUUUCUAUAGAGACAUCAGUUCUUUAAUCUCCCAUUUCUU